rnacentral:rRNA from 1 species
AGUGAACGCUGGCGGUAGGCCUAACACAUGCCAGUCGAACGGCAGCACAGUAAGAGCUUGCUCUUACGGGUGGCGAGUGGCGGACGGGUGAGGAAUACAUCGGAAUCUACUUUUUCGUGGGGGAUAACGUAGGGAAACUUACGCUAAUACCGCAUACGACCUACGGGUGAAAGCAGGGGAUCUUCGGACCUUGCGCGAUUGAAUGAGCCGAUGUCGGAUUAGCUAGUUGGCGGGGUAAAGGCCCACCAAGGCGACGAUCCGUAGCUGGUCUGAAAGGAUGAUCAGCCACACUGGAACUGAGACACGGUCCAGACUCCUACGGGAGGCAGCAGUGGGGAAUAUUGGACAAUGGGCGCAAGCCUGAUCCAGCCAUACCGCGUGGGUGAAGAAGGCCUUCGGGUUGUAAAGCCCUUUUGUUGGGAAAGAAAAGCAGCAGGUUAAUACCCCGCUGUUCUGACGGUACCCAAAGAAUAAGCACCGGCUAACUUCGU